AACGAACGCUGGCGGCGUGUUUAAGACAUGCAAGUCGAACGGGGUGAAGUUGUAGCAAUACCGCUUCAUCCAGUGGCGCACGGGUGCGUAACACGUGAGUUACAUGCCCUGCAGUGGGGAAUAGCCCGCCGAAAGGCGGAUUAAUACCCCAUGGUUCCCGCGAGGGUAAAGGUGGCCGCAAGGCUGCCGCUGCAGGAUUGGCUCGCGGCCUAUCAGCUUGUUGGCGGGGUAACGGCCCACCAAGGCGACGACGGGUACCUGGUCUGAGAGGAUGAGCAGGCACACUGGAACUGAGACACGGGCCAGACAACUACGGGUGGCAGCAGUCGAGAAUAAUUCACAAUGGGCGAAAGCCUGAUGGUGCAACGCCGCGUGGAGGAGGAAGGUCUUCGGAUUGUAAACUCCUGUCAUCGGGGAGUAAGACCUGGGCGUGAAUAGCGCACAGGGUUGAUAGUACCCGAAGAGGAAGGGACGGCUAACUUCGUGCCAGCCGCCGCCGUAACAC
rnacentral:rRNA from 1 species